rnacentral:rRNA from 1 species
CGCCGGACCUGACUGCUAUCGGAUUGAUACUAAGCCAUGCGAGUCAUUGUAGCAAUACAAGGCAUACGGCUCAGUAACGCGUAGUCAACCUAACCUAUGGACGGGAAUAACCUCGGGAAACUGAGAAUAAUGNCCGAUAGAACAUUAUGCCUGGAAUGGUUUAUGUUCCAAAUGAUUUAUCGCCGUAGGAUGGGACUGCGGCCUAUCAGUUUGUUGGUGAGGUAAUGGCCCACCAAGACUAUUACAGGUACGGGCUCUGAGAGGAGUAGCCCGGAGAUGGGUACUGAGACACGGACCCAGGCCCUAUGGGGCGCAGCAGGCGAGAAAACUUUGCAAUGUGCGAAAGCACGACAAGGUUAAUCCGAGUGGUUUCUGCUAAAGAAACCUUUUGUCAGUCCUAGAAACACUGAUGAAUAAGGGGUGGGCAAGUUCUGGUGUCAGAC